AUGAAGUCCUAAGGGACGAAAUGCGUUGGAAUUCAACGAUUGUGCGUUUCCUUAAAUUGGUGAACAGAUCAUACAUGCUGUCUCAUGAUGAGGAAUGACUUGUGUUGGCCUCUCGUUGUACAAUAUUUUCCUGUAUACUGUUUCCACAUGAAGGGCUAAUACUGCUCCGACUAUGACAUCUCCAUUCCAAAACAUGUCCACCAGUUCCGGGGAAUGUAAAGUGCAGCUUAGUCCCAUGGAAUGUGAUGCUGGCGCAAGAUAAUACUGAAUAAGGAGCCACAGUGUCCUGUAGGAAAACAUCUCCAACCUGGAACCACACAGAAAAGUUGCAGGAGCUUAAUUUAUUGUUAAAGUCUUUUCUUCUUAUUUUGAGUUAAUUUGCCUAAUGGUGAAAGUACAAAUUUAAACAUGUUAGCCUCUGUA